rnacentral:rRNA from 1 species
UGGGGAAUAUUGGACAAUGGGCGAAAGCCUGAUCCAGCCAUGCCGCGUGUGUGAAGAAGGUCUUUUGGUUGUAAAGCACUUUAAGUGGGGAGGAAAAGCUUAUGGUUAAUACCCAUAAGCCCUGACGUUACCCACAGAAUAAGCACCGGCUAACUCUGUGCCAGCAGCCGCGGUAAUACAGAGGGUGCAAGCGUUAAUCGGAAUUACUGGGCGUAAAGCGCGCGUAGGUGGUUAUUUAAGUCAGAUGUGAAAGCCCCGGGCUUAACCUGGGAACUGCAUCUGAUACUGGAUAACUAGAGUAGGUAAGAGGGGAGUAGAAUUCCAGGUGUAGCGGUGAAAUGCGUAGAGAUCUGGAGGAAUACCGAUGGCGAAGGCAGCUCCCUGGCAUCAUACUGACACUGAGGUGCGAAAGCGUGGGUAGCAAACAGGAUUAGAUACCCUGGUAGUCCACGCCGUAAACGAUGUCUACCAGUCGUUGGGUCUUUUAAAGACUUAGUGACGCAGUUAACGCAAUAAGUAGACCGCCUGGGGAGUACGGCCGCAAGGUUA